UACUAUACUGCGUUAGGGAUAGUAGCGAAAAUCCCGCAAGCUGAACCAUCAGCUGAGGAAUUGUAGCGUAUAGCCCGACCGCGG
rnacentral:sRNA from 1 species